UUGCACCCCAGCCUCAAACACAAAUUUCUGCCCAACUUUUUUCAACUAAAAACCCCGGAAUCAACAUAUAAAUCAACAAUCAUGGUCAGUGUGGUUUUGCUACUUCUCCAGGCAUACUUUAGUGAGGGUAUAGCCAUAGAAAAGCGACGAAGAGCUUGUCAGUGGUGGGUGUCAGGACAUGGUCCAAGUGGACGCAUUCAGCACCUCAUGCUGAAAAUGCCGAAGAAAGAUAACGAUUGAUCAUGAUAGAAAAACUCCAGUAACCUUCCUUGGAUCUGGCAUCAUUUCCGGCCAACCUCGUGGAAAGUGAGGAAUUUAUCGUGCUCGUUCGAAUUUGCAAUAACUGCGUGAUGUGUAGUUUCUCGCAUGACAAUUGGACUGUGCAAUAAUUGGACUUAUUGACCAUGCAGCAUCACCAUUUGGCCUCGUGAUACCUUUGGACAAACUGAAACUGGAUUCAGGGAUUCAAAGAAUACGUUUGUAGAAAAGUUGUUGGUAUCUUCAUUAAUAUUGGGUUUUCGAUGUCAUAAAACUUAGAAUAACAUUUUGUGAACAAAUUUGCCAUCAAGAACCUGUCAAAAUUGUCGACAUUAAUGUAUUCACCCUUCCACAGGAAGAGGAAGUAAGGGUAUUGAAUCCCCAGACCCAAGGGGUUUUGAAAAAGGGUCUUAAAUCGUUCCCUUCCUCAUGUCUUGUGUAACUAUGUAUGCAAUACCCCUCAAAGCCAGAAAGUUGCCCAAGACAACCAAAUUUGAAUAAUUCUUAACUACAACAGGAAGUAGGGGAAAUUUAGCAUGUGUAAGGGUCUAAACAAGGGUCCCAAAUCAUCCCCCUGAGCCGGCAGUCUUUGGGAACCGAGCGUGUAAUCGUUCCUCUAAGCUGUAGUGUGUCGCAUGUUACCCAGCAUCCCGCGCUCUGUGGGAAAGCGACCAAUUAACGAGCGAUUGCCUUCGUGGCUGCGGAUAUAGCCCCGCAGCUCCGGGCGCGAUAAGGGCCAAACCCGCGACAAACUUCCCGUGGAUUACCUCAGCCCCUUACAAGUGUUGGGUCCCUUGCACAGUGGGAAGGAAAUCUGCUGAGGAAAAUUACCAAAUAUUGUGAAUUGACAAAAUAUUUUGUGCAUUCCAAAGAAGGGGCAAUGUUUAAAAGUAUCAGCGAUGCUGUCAGUUUAACUUGGAAUCAAGUUUGAGUCUGUUUCAAGUCACCUUGCCAGCAAUAGUUGUACAGUCACUGUAUAUCGAUGUGCAGCAAUGAGAUGGAUGUCUGGUCAAGUAAUGGUGAAAAUAUCUUCAAAAUCUUGGUAAAGUUACCGAGGCAUAACUGAGUGAUUUUGAGUGCUCAUUGCAGGGCUAUUAGAAGGGGAGCAUGUUUGACAGCGACCUAACACCCCUGGUGAGAGCUGUCAUCAGAUUAUAAGGGUUCCCUUCAUUUUGUCCUCAUUUAGCAAGUAGUUGACUGAUAUGAAAAUAGGGGAUAAUUCUGCUUAUUUUCUUUGCAACAGGAUGUACAAUUGUUGGGGUAAUUCGUACACAUAUAUUUUGUCAUUUUGUCAUUUUACAUGAGUGAAUAUAUCUGUAUUUUUCUGUGAAAUGCGAAGUUGAUAUGAUGUAUGUCUAAAAAUUUGAAUCAAAAGUAUGUAUAACAUGAUAAUGCCAGUGGCAACUGAGAUUUUAUAUUCAGAUUUCAUAUAUUUAUAAAUUUGUAAAAGAUAAUGAUGAUAAUAAAGUAAUAA